CCAAUAGCGUAUAUUAAAGUUGUUGCAGUUAAAAAGCUCGUAGUUGAAUUUCGGGAUUAGUGCGCCGGUCGUGCCUUCGGUAUGUACUGGUGUUACUGGUUCCUACCUUCUGACGAACCGUCAUGUCAUUAAUUUGGUGUGGCGGGGAAUCAGGACUGUUACUUUGAAAAAAUUAGAGUGUUUAAAGCAGGCUCGCGCUUGAAUACAUUAGCAUGGAAUAAUGAAAUAGGACGUUCGAUCCUAUUUUGUUGGUUUCUAGGAUUGACGUAAUGAUUAAUAGGGAUAGUUGGGGGAAUUAGUAUUCAAUUGUCAGAGGUGAAAUUCUUGGAUUUAUUGAAGACUAACUACUGCGAAAGCAUUUGCCAAGGAUGUUUUCAUUAAUCAAGAACGAAAGUUAGGGGAUCGAAGACGAUCAGAUACCGUCGUAGUCUUAACCAUAAACUAUGCCGACUAGGGAUCGGAUGAUGUUAUUUUUAAUGACUCAUUCGGCGCCUUACG
rnacentral:rRNA from 1 species